ensembl:Mt_tRNA
AGUAGAGUCAGCUAAUUAAGCUUUUGGGCCCAUACCCCAAACAUGUUGGUUAAAUUCCCUCCUCUACUA